CAAGAAAGUCGCUGAGGGUCCUGCCGGCGAGGGAGGCACCUCAGCGGCUGUGUUUCGGGAAACGGCACGCUAGAUCGUCACCGAAGCAGCGGCCGCCCGCGUGGCCGGCUGGUGGGAGUGGACCGAGGCCGCAGUGCUGCACUCACCUGUUCGUAGAGUCCCUGCUCGCCGCCGAUCACAGGCCGCUGCUAGCUUUUGCUUUCAGGGGCUCCAGGCCGCGUUCGUGGCUCCAGGGCUGCGCUUACUUCCCGUUCCCACGCGUCCAGGUGACGCUCUACCAGCGAUUCCAAGAAGGCAGGUUUUAAAACCUGAUCACCCUAGGUCAGGGAAGGAGAGCCAGUCUAGGGCCCUCCGCAGACCGGCAGGCUCCAGCCUUCACCAAGAGGAAGAAAAACUAGCAACUGAAAUAGCUAAGCGAAACUACCCAGAGAAUAGAAAUGACUCAUCCCCCAGAUGCUGAGUUGAUCAUUAGCUAUAGGCUGCUACCUCACUGUUCCCCGCCUUACGAACUCCCGCCAAUUCUUGAGGACACUUCCUCAUUGUCCCCACCUCUCGCUCCCUCUUCCUGAGACAGGAUGGGGCUGUGGGUGUGGGGUGGAGUGUUUGCUUGCCCUGCAGAAACCCUACAGCUUGUAAACCCAGAUGGGUAAACCGGUUGGAUGCAUGGUGCAUGCUUGUAAUCUCAG
rnacentral:lncRNA from 1 species